rnacentral:rRNA from 1 species
UACAGAGGGUGCGAGCGUUAAUCGGAAUUACUGGGCGUAAAGCGUGCGUAGACGGUAGCGUAAGUCAGAUGUGAAAGCCCCGGGCUCAACCUGGGAACUGCAUUUGAGACUGCUCUGCUCGGGUGCGGAAGAGGGAAGCGGAAUUUCCGGUGUAGCGGUGAAAUGCGUAGAUAUCGGAAGGAACACCAGUGGCGAAGGCGACUCACUGGCCCGAUACUGACGCUGAGGCGCGAAAGCGUGGGGAGCAAACAGG